ensembl:lncRNA
CCUUCUCCUCCUGCCCCCAGUCCCUCCCAGCAUCACAGUCUUUUCCAAUGAGUCAACUCUUCGCAUGAAGUGGCCAACGUACCGGAGUUUCAGCUUUAGCAUCAUUCCUUCCAAAGAACACCCAGGAGUAUCAGCCUCUAAACACUGGCUUCUGGGGUGGAUUUCCUUUGGGGGAACCAACAGUCGUGUUUGAUCCUACUUCAUGGCUGGAAUGGGGCAAGAACAGAAGUGGCCCUGAGAGGACAGGCACAUCCAUUUCCUAACUCUGACGGACCAGUAAAAAUCACUGAAACGUGGCAGCCAUCUUUGUCUCCCCCUCACUCGCCCCGCUUCAUCCGUGAAAAGUCCAGUUGCUGUGGAUUCUGCGUCUCCAGUCUCCCAAAAAUCUGACAAGAACCUGCAGCUGCACUGGUUAUAGUCUCAGACUGUGAUUCCCCAGCCAGGUGCCAGGACAAUGGCUAUCUAUUAAUAUCCUAUGCCAGCUGUUACCUCAACAUGUGGGAUGCCCAGGCAUUGGGGAGAAAGACUCGAUUUUGUCUGCGGCCUCCCCUUACAUUUUUGGCGUUCUCUAGUUGUGGAGAGCAGGAGCUACUCGUUGUAGUUCAGGGGCUUCUCAAUGCUGUGGCUUCUCUUGUUGCUGAGCACAGGCUCUAGGCAUGCUGGCUUCAGUAGCUGCAGCAUGCAGACUCAGUAGUUGUAGCACAUGGGCUUAGUUGCUCCGAGGCAUGUGGAAUCUUCCCAAAUCAGAGAUCAAACCCCUGUCUUCUGCAUUAACAGAUUAUUUACCGAAUUUAAUCUUCAAAACAAGCCUGGAGGCAUUACUGUCCACAUGUUUGCAAAUGAGGACACAGGCUGAAGGAGGAAGAGCUGAGACACUCAAUAUUCCAGGAGCCAAACUUGAGAUCUCAGAGUCAGGUGUGUCCAUCACAGCAUCACUGUUCCACUGAUCUCUGGAUUCACUUUUGUCUGCUACUUCAAAUGCAAAGCACCCUUGCAUUUGCUUUCUAGAUAAUUAUAUUCCGAACAUCGUUUACUUAGUAAAUCUUGAAAUUUUUCAAAUGGUGCUUUAUUCAUGGAUUGAGUAUACCAGGUCCUUUAUAGGAGAUUUCCAAA